CCAGCCCGGGCCGACCCCCGCGGCGGCGCGCGUGUGCGCAAGGAGGGACACCGCAGAGAGGCCGGGACUCGUGCUGAAGGAGAAAGGCGACAAAAAAUUAAAAAAAAAAAAGGAACAGAUGACUUCAUUCUCGGGAAGGCUCCGUCCUACGUGGACCAAUUUCCUGGGGACUGUGGUGGAACAGCUCCGCUGCCGUUGGAAGCACUUAAAACUAAACCAGAUAAAGACCAGAAAAUUCUUCAGCAGUGCCUCAACCGAGCGAGGGCAGCUGGGAUGCCAACAAUCUCUGGUCCAGACAGAAGCCGGAGGAAAAAGGCCUUCGGAGCUCACGUAAAUAUAAAAACGGAUUUAAGAAGAUAUUUAUACUUAUAAACAAACGACUCCUAAUGAACA